GUUGACCUCGGAUCAGGUAGGAAUACCCGCUGAACUUAAGCAUAUCAAUAAGCGGAGGAAAAGAAACCAACAGGGAUUGCCCUAGUAACGGCGAGUGAAGCGGCAACAGCUCAAAUUUGAAAUCUGGCUCUCGGGCCCGAGUUGUAAUUUGUAGAGGAUGCUUUUGAUGCGGUGCCUUCCGAGUUCCCUGGAACGGGACGCCAUAGAGGGUGAGAGCCCCGUCUGGUUGGAUGCCAAAUCUCUGUAAAGCUCCUUCGACGAGUCGAGUAGUUUGGGAAUGCUGCUCUAAAUGGGAGGUAUAUGUCUUCUAAAGCUAAAUACCGGCCAGAGACCGAUAGCGCACAAGUAGAGUGAUCGAAAGAUGAAAAGCACUUUGAAAAGAGAGUUAAAAAGUACGUGAAAUUGUUGAAAGGGAAGCGUUUAUGACCAGACUUGGGCUUGGUUAAUCAUCUGGGGUUCUCCCCAGUGCACUUUUCCAGUCCAGGCCAGCAUCAGUUUUCCCCGGGGGACAAAGGCUUCGGGAAUGUGGCUCUCUUCGGGGAGUGUUAUAGCCCGUUGCGUAAUACCCUGGGGGGGACUGAGGUUCGCGCUUCUGCAAGGAUGCUGGCGUAAUGGUCAUCAACGAC
rnacentral:rRNA from 2 species